rnacentral:rRNA from 1 species
UACGUAGGGGGCUAGCGUUGUCCGGAAUCAUUGGGCGUAAAGCGCGUGUAGGCGGUCCGGUAAGUCCGCUGUGAAAGUCGGGGGCUCAACCCUCGGAUGCCGGUGGAUACUGUCGGGCUUGAGUACGGAAGAGGCGAGUGGAAUUCCUGGUGUAGCGGUGAAAUGCGCAGAUAUCAGGAGGAACACCAAUUGCGAAGGCAGCUCGCUGGGCUCUACCUGACGCUGAGGCGCGAAAGCGUGGGGAGCGAACCGG